GUGACACCCUCAGAUCCGGGGGUCUGGAUCUGGUGCCACGUGUAAAUAAAAAUAAUUUAAAACCUGUAGUUUUGAGCCACUGAAAGAAAAACAAUUUAAAACCUGUAUUUUUGGAAGAAAGUAAAAACAAGUAUUUCUAAACCUGGAUAUUAUUUUUUUUUUUAAAAGAAGGUCUUUAAUUCAAAAUCAAUUUCACCCCCUGAAAACAGGAUCGCACACAGGCUACAGCAUUGAAAUCAGAAACUAAAACUAUAAAAUCUUAUUUACAAAUUAAACAACAUUAUCAGCUAAACCUCGAUAAGAAGAGUAGCUGAUAACCAAAUAAACAAAUCUAAUUUCCAACUGAAUUGAAUUGCAGAACUCCAACUGCAUCUAGUCUUAAUGACAUCGUCCUAAAUACUCUACCUGUCCAUCUGCUUGAAACUCAACCACUUGCAAUCCUUGCCUAGUCUUAAGUGAAUCAUCUUUAUUCCUAGCUGAAAAGGGUUAGAAGGAAUAGCAAGAAUGAGCAAUAAUGCUCAGCAAGAAUAACAAAAUGAAAUUGAUAUUUGUUGUACAGCAAUGCCAUAAUAAAGAAGUGAAAAUAUUUAAAACUGCAGAAAUGAAUGUAUAAGCAAAUAUCUCUUGAAGGCAGGGUAACUUCUUUUUAAACUAUUCACAAUUUUAUUGGGCUUUAAAAAUAAUUGGACACCUGGCUAUAACAGAUGAUCAGUCAUGCUAUAGUCCAUAAACCAAGCUUAUUCAGCAAGGUUGACAAAUAUUACGAAUUCCGGUAAUCCGGGCUUAAGGAGCCACCUUUCACGCUGGGCCGGUGCCCGAGCCUCUUACGCAAAAACAACCCAAUAGUUUAAUUUUUAAAACAAUCUGCAGUUCCAUCAUGUAAUUCAAGAGCCAGAAUAACAUUUUGUUAAAACAAUUUCUUUAUGCAUAUCAUAGUGUAGAGUUGAUACCAAAAGUGUUAUCCGUUCAACCAAAAAGUUUAAAAGUACUAGAUAUGCUUCACAAGAAAGUAAUUGCAAAUAAUUUGAAUCAUGAUAUAAAGAAGGUUUUAGUAUCUAUAGGUACUAGAGGAGUAGGGUAGAAAUACUUGCUUCUAAAUUGCGAGAGAAGGUAGAAGUACUUGCCUUAACUCCAAAGUUUAGCUCAGAUUCCUAGUAACACUAUAUACCGCAUAAUCAUUCCUUUCUGCCAGCUUCUGACACACUUUUAUCUAUAACAAAUCUCCGUCCUACUUCAACUUGUAACAUUCUGCUUGGCUAUUUCUGAAUACCCCUUUCAAUCACUUCUCGAUUAAUGCCUCGGUCAAUGUCUUCAAUUCUAUACGAUGAUAAAAUAGUAUUUCAGUCGUCGGAUUAGACAUAUUGACUAACCCUGAAUUGCAUUAAGACCUAUAUAUAUAUCUACCCUUCGCAUAUACAUACCACAGUCACAUAAACACAUAGCACAUAGUUGUACAAACAACCCUUUUUAUAGGCAUUAAAUCCAUAUAAUUUCUAACGAAAAUUCGGCAGCAUCUCCUCUGUUUAUAAGCUUAUCCACCUGUUUGCAAUGCCAACAACCAACCAAUACUAUUGCUAACACAUGAAUUAUUAAUAUAAAAAGAUCCCUUGACUUGCAGUAAACACAUAAGAAAAUCUGUCUUGACUUGUAGUAAACAUAUAAUAAAAUCUUUUAGCAGGAUUGCUAACUUGUUAUACGCAAAACACUUUUAAUUAGAUAUACAAGGUUAACCGAGCCAAUCAAUGUAAUAAUCAAUCAUAUGCAAUUAGUCAAGUAUAACCUCAUACUAUGCACUAGCAAAGAAAGAAAAAUAGAACAAAUAGUUCAAACAGCCCUCGGUCUAUGAUUUUUAAUAAAUUGAAAAUUUAUCUUUUUAAUACGAAAUUUUUAUGAGACACUCCUAAAUAUUAUUCCAACCUACAGUAAAAUUUUCAGAAAGAAAAUCCAAGUUUAAAGCUGUAAAACAGAGCCUGGAACAGGACAACCCUGCCCAGAAUUUUCAGCACCAUACUAUACUAAAACGGUCAUAUCUCCUAGCUCGCUAAUCGAAUCGCUUCGAUUCUUUCACGCACAUAAACUAGACUCUGAGGAGCACAUAACCACACAAAGAUUAAGCAUAUAAUUCAAAUCUAUGAUCCCAGAGUUGUAAUUCAAAACAGAUCAACAGCAAUCUAGAAUUCAACCGAAUAUGUGUAAAUCAAAAUUUUUUUUAGCCCAAUACUUAAACUCUUAAAACACCACUUUGAAAACAUUUACAAAAAAUCUCAGACCUUAAAGCUUGAAUACUCAGUUAUAUAUUCCCAUAAUUCAAGUACCCAAGUCAUCCGAUUACACUACUAGUUGGCGCACUAUUUAUAAUCAACUUACAACAACCAGUUCAAAUAUCAAUUAAGCACACAAUUCAAUCAUACAAUUACUAACACCAAUCUCAAUCUCAGAAAUUCAAUCAACCUUCAAUUACAAGCAUAUAAUCAGUUUAUAUACAUACAAACACAUAUAAAUCAGAUUAUACACACAUAAAUCAGAUUAUACACGUAUAAACACCGUUCACCCGAUUAUAAUUUCGAUUAUCCGACAUGUAAAUACACGCAUAUAUAUACACUGAUUCAACAAGGGAAACUAAACUUUAUACCCAUUGAUAUUCGAAUAGCAGGUGCGAUGGAGUGACUCGCCAAAACACAGGCGGCGACUCAAGCUCGGCGGCGGUAAUCCGGCCAGAGAUUGGCGGCCGUGGUUGAGGAAAGAAGAAAGAGCAAAUAGCGGAGAGAUUGCUUUUUGUGGAAAAAGAAAGAACAAGGGUAAAAGGAAUGGAGGAGAAAUACGCGAGAGAGAGUGAGAACGGGAGAUUUAAAGGAAUGAGAGGGGUGAGAUUUGUUUUGUAAUAAAGCGAGGAAGGUCGGCAAAACCAGGGCGGUGAUGAAAAGGGUACGUGGUUAAGUCUUGUACUUCCACGUGCCUUUAAUAAUCUGAAUAAACAAUUGACUCGGACCCGCUUUUAACUAAAUUAUCGGAAUAUCUCGCUAUUUUAUAAUCUAGGAAACAUCAUCAAAAUAAUUUUAUAAAUCCCGGACUAUCAUAAAACUAAUCAAAUAAAAGUUUCGGGAUUUAUAGAGCAUUUUCAAAAUGUAUACAAAAUUUAGAAGUUAGUUGCGUUCAGAAACUAAUUAAAAAUCAUGUUCUUAUAGAAAUUAGAUUUUUAAUAUUUUAAAAACUCCUAAAAUAUUUAUGUUCACUAUCGAGCAAUUAAAAUAAUUUUUCAAAUUAUCUUUAUGUUUUUAUAAAAAUAAAGAUCCAUUUAAAAGAGUAACAAAUUUAAUAAAUUAAUAUAAUAAUAUUAGAAGUGGAAAUAAAUGCACACACAGACAUAAUCUUAAACAAAUAAUAAUUCAAUUAAAUCUCGUAACAGAUAAUUGCACGAUUGAUAGAUAUU
rnacentral:lncRNA from 1 species